GCAGGAAAACCUAUGUAAAAAUUCUAAUCAAUAUCGUUAGUUUAAAAUCGGGUGAAUAAACAUAUCCGUUUAAGGACUUUGGUGUUUUGCUAUCAUUAUUUCUCCAUUUGAUUUGAAGUUUUUUUUACAUCAUGUACAAGUACGUUAAAUUUGUAUGACAUUGUAUUACAUCAGGUUUACGAAACCUUUUGAAGAUCCACUUUUUACAAAACUGAGGUUUAGAAGCUAAUUAACACAGGA
rnacentral:lncRNA from 1 species